rnacentral:rRNA from 1 species
ACCUAACCGCAAGGAGGGAGUCGCCGAAGGUGAAGCCAGUGACUGGGGUGAAGUCGUAACAAGGUAGCCGUAUCGGAAGGUGCGGCUGGAUCACCUCCUUUCUAUGGAGA